CUCGCUCAGCAGGCGCUCACGCUUCAUACUAUCACAGAGCCAACGAUCAGCUGCAGCUCGGUGUGGAAUACGAGGCGAGCACCCGCAUGCAGGACACCAGCGUGUCGUUGGCCUACCAGCUAGACGUGCCUAAAGCCAAUUUACUGUUUAAAGGUUCUGUAGACAGUAACUGGGUUGUCGGUGCCACUUUAGAAAAGAAGCUGCUCCCGCUGCCGCUCUCUCUGGUCCUCUGCACCUUCCUCAACCACCGCAAGAACAAGUUCCAGUGCGGCUUUGGCGUCACAAUCGGUUAGACGGACCGAGCGGCGGGUUUGUUCCCCCACGGAUAGACUCACUACGGACGAGCAGACUAUGCCAUGUUACACCACCGUGUGUCCCGUCACCUCCAUCUGGACAUUUUUCAUGUUUGAGUUUGAUCUCACGUGCUGAAUAGAAAGUUAUCAAUAUACUCUAACGCAUAUAAUCCUAAAAUAUGAAUGACCUAAUUGAUCAGAAGUGUAACACAUAAUGUGAUUGGUCAGGGUUUUGUUGACUGUGGACUCUCGACGAAUAGAAAAAAAACUGAGCUCUUUGUUUCCGUCACUGACUUCUGUGCCUGUUGUUCCAGAUUUGAUUUUUUACAUGUCGUUUUUUUUUUACUGUAAGUGUCUGUGUGCAGUGGAUGAUACUGUCGUCAAUAUUUUUUUUUGUUACAGACAAGUUUACCAGGACUGAGUGUACUGUACUGCAUGUCACGUUCACAAACCAUCACUUGUUUUGUUGCCUUUUUGUUUACGUUACAUACAUAUGAAACAGUAUAUAUAUGACCUGUAUAUACCUCUUGGAAAC